UACGUAGGGUGCAAGCGUUAAUCGGAAUUACUGGGCGUAAAGCGUGCGCAGGCGGUAAGUUAAGUCUGAUGUGAAAGCCCCGGGCUCAACCUGGGAAUGCCAUUCGAGACUGCAUAGCUAGGGUGCGGAAGAGGGAAGCGGAAUUUCCGGUGUAGCGGUGAAAUGCGUAGAUAUCGGAAGGAACACCAGUGGCGAAAGCGGCUUCCUGGUCCAGCACCGACGUUCAGGCACGAAAGCGUGGGGAGCAAACAGG
rnacentral:rRNA from 1 species